rnacentral:rRNA from 1 species
AGUGAACGCUGGCGGUAGGCCUAACACAUGCAAGUCGAACGGCAGCACAGUAAGAGCUUGCUCUUACGGGUGGCGAGUGGCGGACGGGUGAGGAAUACAUCGGAAUCUACUUUUUCGUGGGGGAUAACGUAGGGAAACUUACGCUAAUACCGCAUACGACCUACGGGUGAAAGCAGGGGAUCUUCGGACCUUGCGCGAUUGAAUGAGCCGAUGUCGGAUUUGCUAGUUGGCGGGGUAAAGGCCCACCAAGGCGACGAUCCGUAGCUGGUCUGAGAGGAUGAUCAGCCACACUGGAACUGAGACACGGUCCAGACUCCUACGGGAGGCAGCAGUGGGAAAUAUUGGACAAUGGGCGCAAGCCUGAUCCAGCCAUACCGCGUGGGUGAAGAAGGCCUUCGGGUUGUAAGGCCCUUUUGUUGGGAAAGAAAAGCAGCAGGUUAAUACCCCGCUGUUCUGACGGUACCCAAAGAAUAAGCACCGGCUAACUUCGUG